UAGGGAAUAUUGGUAAUCUGGGAAACCGGGAACCAGCAACGCCGCGUGCGCGAUGAAGGCCUACGGGUUGUAAAGCGCUUUUUAAAGGGAUGAGGAAGGACAGUACCUUUAGAAUAAGCCUCGGCUAACUACGUGCCAGCAGCCGCGGUAAAACGUAGGAGGCGAGCGUUAUCCGGAUUUACUGGGCGUAAAGCGUGUGCAGGCGGUUUGAUAAGUUGGAUGUGAAAGCUCCUGGCUUAACUGGGAGAGGUCGUUCAAAACUAUCAGACUAGAGAGUGGUAGAGGGAGAUGGGAUUCCGCGUGUAGUGGUGAAAUGUGUAGAUAUGCGGAGGAACACCAGUGGCAAAAGCGGUCACCUGGCCCAUUUCUGACGCUAAGACACGAAAGCUAAGGUAGCAA
rnacentral:rRNA from 1 species